UUUAGGAUGAAGCUCUUCUGAAGCUAGUGGAUGCCUUGGUGUGCCUGCUGCGCGAGCUGCUGGACUCGGACGCUGGCGACGAGGUCAUGAGGGCCUUGUCCUGCACAGUUCUCACUUUGGUGGAGAGUGCAGCGUCCAGCGGAGGCAUAGGGAUUCGACUCGCACUGGGUUCGAUCACAUCAGUCAUCCAGACCACCGUCACGUGUUCAUGAACCAAACACACGGAAAGCAUCACAUGUGUAGCCCACAGCUUCGAUAUCUAUUAUGUAGCCAGCAUUGCCAAUAUCAAUGGUAUAGUAUAGAAUAGUCUGAUGACCGCUCUGACUACCUCAGCGUUGUGUUCUACUGCGGCAUUCAUGGUGGCGCUGCCACAUUGUAGAUUUGGUUUAUGAAGAAAGCGUUUGGUAUUAACGACCAUACAUUCGUGGAUGCCUUUUCAAGAGGAGUCAAGUACCAGGUGUAUAAGAUUCCGCAAUAAAGCUACUGUAUCCCAGCAACCUCUUUGCUGACAUUGUACUCAUCGUAUUGCAAUGUGGUCAGUGGUAUCGAGCUCUUUCGGAUUAUGUCCCACCUGAAGAACACGUGUGCAGAUUUUCUAUUCGUUUUUUUUCCUUUGCAUACAGCCCUUACGACCUACGUCGAGCUAUGUGUUGAGCUGCAAAGAGGCAUCCGGCAUGAUCGCUUUCAGCAGUGAUGCCCUACCAUUGCCUCAGAAAUCAGAAAGCACACGAAGCCCACGCCCGCGGCCCAUCUCUGAGGUCAUGCUCUUCCAGAACGUAGAACGGUGGCGAAGCGUGAGAAUUGACAGUAAUCCAUUCUAAGCAUCGCGCAAGAGCCAAGGACGACUAAUAAGAGCCCUGGGUGGUUGCUGUCUUUAAACUAUAAGUAUAUCACGAAAAACCGGCGAAUUUAUGAGCGGCAGCCCUGGAACGAGUUAAUAAAAUACAUUAAACUCACACGAAUAGCCAAAAUUAUGACCCAUCAACACGCACUAUUUCAUCUAGAU